ensembl:lncRNA
CUUCUCUUUCACGGGGCACAAUAAGAAGAAACAACACACUCAGUUGGAGUUUGUGGAGAGGAUGGUGCCAAAAAACAAGAAAAGAUGAAAGAAAGCAUCUGAACUGGAACAGUAAAAAAACCUUGAGAUGCGACCCGUCAAAUAGACAGUUGUUGACGCGUCUCCUCCUCCCUUCUACUCUGAGCGAGAGCAAGGACUGUUUGACUUCUCCACGUUGGGUGUUCAGGAGCCGUCCCAGAUACUGAUAUCAAACCUGAUACCGAGGGAGUUCCGUUUCACAUCGGUGUCUCCUGAGUGAUCGAACGGGGAAUCUACGACAUAUCCAACGCUGUCAUCCGGAGAAGCCGCCACGCCUGUUUGACAUCCACGCUUCAUACAUCCUGUUUUGAUUCACUUCAGUUACAUCUCCAAAGUAUGCGGGACUUUUGGG